AUGCCAACGCUGCCAAUCCUCUUUAGCAGCCCCUCCUUCACAUCUGCCAUCGCAACGGGUGGAAACUACUCUUCUCGUCUCCCUCUCCAAGCAUCGCCUCUCCCCUGCAUCCCCCAUGUCCAAGCAUCACCUGCGGCAGCGAAAGCUACACCACCCUCUAGUAUUGAACACGAAACAGUAGAUGAGAACUAUGAUGGCGCUGCUCCGAAGAUGUUAUCAAGCUAUGAGCCCUUUCUGUGGGAGGUCAGACAAAUGGACGUCGACAUGUUGUUUAAGAGUUGCAACUGCACGGUGGAAAGAAUAAAUUUAUUGGACACUGUCCAACGUCUCGGAAUAGGUCAUCACUUUAAGAAACAUGUUGAUACCACGUUAAGUCAAAUUUUUGAGGAUGAAUUCAGUAGCCCUAGCCUCCAUCAGGUUGCCCUUCGGUUUGGCUUGCUUAGGGAGCAUGGUCUUUGGGUGUCUUCACAUGUUUUCGAUAAAUUUAAAAAUGAAGAUGGGAGCUUUAGGGAAGAUAUUACUAAUGACCCGAAGGGACUUUUAUGUCUAUACAACGCAGCUCAUCUUCUCAUUCAUGGUGAGCCAUCACUGGAAGAAGCUAUCUCUUUUGCAAGGCAUCAUCUUAAAUUGAUGAGGGACACUCUCAAUUCCCCUUUAGCCGAGCAAGUCAAAUGUGCCCUUCACAUGCCAUUGUCAAGGACGUUUAAGAGGAUGGAAACACUGCGUUAUAUCUCUGAGUAUAAGCACGAGGAAGGACAUAACCCAACUCUAUUGGAGCUAGCGAAGCUGGAUUUUAACCUUCUACAACAUGUCCACUUGAAGGAACUCAAAUAUCUCACUAAGUGGUGGCGCGAUCUUUACGGAUAUGUCGGGCUAAACUAUGCUCGGGACCGUCUAGUCGAGGGUUACAUUUGGUGUUAUGCGGUAUACCAUGAGAAAGAUUUUGCAUUGUCCAGAAUAUUUCUUACCAAGCAAUUGAUGCUUAUUUCCCUGAUGGAUGACACAUAUGAUUCCCAUGCCACCAUAGAGGAAUGUCGAUUGCUAAAUGCGGCCAUACAAAGAUGGGAUGAGAGUGCCACUUCUCUUCUACCCAACUACCUUCAAAGAUUCUAUAUUGAAUUGUUGAGGAUAUUUAAAAAAUAUAAGCGUGAAGUGGUCAUUCGUGACACCUACCAUGUUGCCUAUGCCCAGAAAGCGUUUCAAGAUCUAUCAGCUUAUUAUCUCCGAGAAGCUGAAUGGUUACACGAGAAUCACAAGCCAAGCUUCAAAGAUCACAUGAGUUUAUCUGCCAUGUCCAUAGGAUCACUAGCAUUAUGUAUAGGUUUGAUGGUUGGCAUGGGUGAUCUAGUGACGAGGGAAUCAUUUGAGUGGGCAGCUGGUUACCCUAAUGUCGCCAUAUCAUGCGGGAAGAUAGCACGUCUAAUGGAUGACAUUGCUGCAUUUAAAGGCGGGAAGGCCAAGGGAGAUAUGGCAACCUCUAUAGAGUGUUACAUGGUUGAGCAUAGGGUCACAAGUGUGGUUGCCCUUUCCAAGAUCCUUUCACUGCUAGAAGAUGAAUGGAAAACUCUAAAUCAAGCUCUCUUUCAACAUCACGCACAGCUCCCGGUGGUGCGGAGGAUUAUUAAGUUUGCUAAUAGCAUGCCAUUAUUCUAUGCUGAGAAAGAUGCAUAUACCUUCAACAUCCAUCUUAAGGAUACCGUUGAGAGCCUUUUUGUUGAAACCAUUCCCAUGUAG
rnacentral:rRNA from 1 species